UCUGCCUCACGAAUAAUCAUACUGUGAAUCCACACAGUUUGGUUCAGACAGGGGCGCACAGCGAUUCGAUUUGAUGCGAUUCAAGGUUGAGACCAGAUUGAUGUGUUCAUCCUUUGUUGCUUUUGCAACUCCGCUUGCUUCGGACAUUU